GACGAACGCUGGCGGCGUGCCUAACACAUGCAAGUCGAGCGGAGACAGAGGCUUCGGCCAAUGUUUUAGCGGCGGACGGGUGAGUAACGCGUGAGCAACCUUUCUCUUACUGGGGAAUAGCCAUUGGAAACGAUGAUUAAAACCUCAUAACACCGGGAAAAGACAUCUUUUUUCGGUCAAAGAUUUAUCGGCAAAGGAUGGGCCUGCGUCUGAUUAGCUGGUUGGUGAGGUAACGGCUCACCAAGGCGACGAUCAGUAGCCGACCUGAGAGGGUGACCGGCCACAUUGGGACUGAGACACGGCCCAAACUCCUACGGGAGGCAGCAGUGGGGAAUAUUGCACAAUGGGCGCAAGCCUGAUGCAGCGACGCCGCGUGAGCGAAGAAGUAUUUCGGUAUGUAAAGCUCAUCAGCAGGGAAGAAAAUGACGGUACCUGACUAAGAAGCUCCGGCUAAAGUACGUG
rnacentral:rRNA from 1 species